rnacentral:misc_RNA from 1 species
AACCUUAUGGACCUGCGGGCGUAUACCUGCGGAGGGAUCAUUACCGAGUUUACAACUCCCAAACCCCUGUGAACAUACCUAUAUGUUGCCUCGGCGGAUCAGCCCGCGCCCCGUAAGACGGGACGGCCCGCCGCAGGAUCCACAAACUCUGUUUUUAUUGUAACUUCUGAGUAACAAAACAAAUAAAUCAAAACUUUUAGCAACGGAUCU